rnacentral:piRNA from 1 species
UAUCUGCCAUAGCUAGUGAUUCCUCAGAU